rnacentral:rRNA from 1 species
CCUACGGGAGGCAGCAGUAGGGAAUAUUGCUCAAUGGGGGAAACACUGAAGCAGCAACGCCGCGUGGAGGAUGAAGGCUUUCGGAUUGUAAACUUCUUUUGUUAGAGAAGAAAAUGACGGUAUCUAACGAAUAAGCACUGGCUAACACCGUGCCAGCAGCCGCGGUAAUACGGAGGGUGCGAGCGUUACUCGGAAUCACUGGGCGUAAAGAGCGCGUAGGCGGGUUAGCAAGUCAGAUGUGAAAGCCUAGGGCUUAACCAUAGAACUGCAUGUGAAACUGUUAUUCUAGAGUAUGGGAGAGGUAGGUGGAAUUCUUGGUGUAGGGGUGAAAUGCGUAGAGAUCAAGAGGAAUACUGAUUGCGAAGGCGGCCUGCUAGAACGUAACUGACGCUGAUGCGCGAAAGCGUGGGGAGCAAACAGGAUUAGAUACCCCAGUAGUC